GCGCAGGUGGUGAAAGGCGAACAUCGCUGCCCGGAAAGCAGAAGAUGCGGGUUCGAGUCCCGCCUGGCGCA
rnacentral:tRNA from 1 species